GCUUAGUUGCCAUCAUUAAGUUGGGCACUCUAAGUUGACUGCCGGUGACAAACCGGAGGAAGGUGGGGAUGACGUCAAAUCAUCAUGCCCCUUAUGAUUUGGGCUACACACGUGCUACAAUGGACAAUACAAAGGGUAGCGAAACCGCGAGGUCAAGCAAAUCCCAUAAAGUUGUUCUCAGUUCGGAUUGUAGUCUGCAACUCGACUAUAUGAAGCUGGAAUCGCUAGUAAUCGUAGAUCAGCAUGCUACGGUGAAUACGUUCCCGGGUCUUGUACACACCGCCCGUCACACCACGAGAGUUUGUAACACCCGAAGCCGGUGGAGUAACCAUUUGGAGCUAGCCGUCGAAGGUGGGACAAAUGAUUGGGGUGAAGUCGUAACAAGGUAGCCGUAUCGGAAGGUGCGGCUGGAUCACCUCCUUUCUAAGGA
rnacentral:rRNA from 1 species